rnacentral:rRNA from 1 species
GACGAACGCUGGCGGCGUGCUUAACACAUGCAAGUCGAACGGAAAGGCCCUGCUUUUGUGGGGUGCUCGAGUGGCGAACGGGUGAGUAACACGUGAGUAACCUGCCCUUGACUUUGGGAUAACUUCAGGAAACUGGGGCUAAUACCGGAUAGGAGCUCCUGCUGCAUGGUGGGGGUUGGAAAGUUUCGGCGGUUUGGGAUGGACUCGCGGCUUAUCAGCUUGUUGGUGGGGUAGUGGCUUACCAAGGCUUUGACGGGUAGCCGGCCUGAGAGGGUGACCGGCCACAUUGGGACUGAGAUACGGCGCAGACUCCUACGGGAGGCAGCAGGGGGGAAUCUUGCACAAUGGGCGGACGCCUGAUGCAGCAACGCCGCGUGCGGGAUGACGGCCUUCGGGGUGUAAACCGCUUUCGCCUGUGACGAAGCGUGAGUGACGGUAAUGGGUAAAGAAGCACCGGCUAACUACGUG